CGCGUAGGCGGUCAGCACAAGUCAGUUGUGAAAUCUCCGGGCUUAACUCGGAAAGGUCAACUGAUACUGUGCGACUAGAGUGCAGAAGGGGCAACUGGAAUUCUCGGUGUAGCGGUGAAAUGCGUAGAUAUCGAGAGGAACACCUGCGGCGAAGGCGGGUUGCUGGGCUGACACUGACGCUGAUGCGCGAAAGCGAGGGAGCGGAAC
rnacentral:rRNA from 1 species